UGGUGUGGCUGGACCUCGUGUAUGUCAAGGAACAGGGAAGCAGCUGAUGUGGCAGUCGUAUUAACAGGCAGUUAUAAAAACCAAGCAUCUGUAAAUCCUUUUGAUAAAUAUUUGUGAAAUUUCAAAAUCCUCACGUCUGAGCAGUGGAAGGGAAAUGCAGUGAAAAUGAUCAGCUAGGAAGUCCAUCUAAGCUUUCAUUGCCUGAUGGAACUAAGUUAUAAGACCAAGUGAUCCUGAUGUCUUUUUAAUGGAGGAACUUUAACAAGUGUUGUAAAAUCUCCUUUGGUAAUGAAUAAUUUCCUCUGAGUUGGGAAAGCAGUAAAUACUUGGGCUAAUUUGUU